CAGAGCCGAACAAGCAGACUAGGCACCCAAGCCUAGCAUGCAUUUUAGAGAGUGGACACAGGAAAUACGUGCUCUAGUCUGAGGAAUCAAAAAAGCAUAUAUCCAUCUAAAGGGUCUGAAAUGAAGUAUUCACCAGCAACCCACAGGAAGGCUUGCUUUGGCUAAUCUAUGGUCAAGACAGAAACAAAUUUCAACACCGUGAAAACUGGGACUCAUUGGAGAUGGCAUAGAGGCAGAAAAGACUGAGCGAGUUGUGGAAAAGGCUGAGCAGGAAGAGGAAGCAGAAGAAUGGUAGAAGGAUGUUCAGUGAGGUGUUGCCAUGCAAGGGCAAGGUUAUUAGAGCUGCUGCAGCCAUCUUGUGACAAUAAAAGAGAACCAAGAGGAUUUCAGAAAUACCAUCCCACAUCCUGACAUUAUGUAGCUUCUGAACCAUCUAUCUCCAUGGAUCUUGCUAUGUGAGGAAAAUCUACACACCUGCAAAGUCCCUUUUGCCACGACAUUCAAACCCCAAAUUUAUACUGAGUGCAUACUACAUUCAAGAUACUCUAUGAGGUUGGAAUAAAAUGGAUUUCUGAAUAAUCACCUUCAUCCUAAAUGAGUCUACCUGGGAAGAAAAAGCUAUUAAGCCAUCAAUGUACCCCCUCCUCCUUCCUCACCUAGGUAUUAGAACAAAAUGUUUGCAAACCAAUGACCUCAUUUUCAGGUCAUCGGAAGAAACAAAAACAAGCUGUGGUGAAGAAGAAACGUUUUCUAAAGCCUCUUUUAUCCCCAGGAUGGUUGAGAAGUCAGAGGCCUGCAAUGCUAGGAAGAGAGGGUCUAAAGUGGCCUUUUCACCGUGAUGUAAGUAGGCUCUCCAGCAGUCCCAGAAGACUUUCACAAGAAGAGUUUCAACAACAGAAAAUAAGCCUAAGUGAUUGUGUGGAUAUCACAGAGCAACAGAGAAAAUGUAGAUCACUCCAGUUCUAGCACAAGGUCGGGGAGGAAAAAGAAUCAGAGAGUUUGGAAUUUCUAAAUGCUCGUGUUUGAGAAAUGGGGAGCAUCACAAACUAACAGCAGAGGUGGACAUUUUUUACAGGGUAAAGGAUUCCCAUGGAACACCACUCGUCAAAUGCAAAUAAAAAUUGUACAAAGAAGGUAACUUCUUUCUCUGUCCCCACAUCUCUCCAUCUGAAACUUCAUUCUUCCAUUAAAACAGAAUUGUGCUUUGUGAUG
rnacentral:lncRNA from 1 species